rnacentral:lncRNA from 1 species
CCGUAUCCCCAAUCAAGCUUCUGCUCUUCAGACGUAAUAAAAAGCUGCCCAAAUCCCUCAACAUCUCCUGGCUGCUGCCAAAACUUCUUUUUCUCAUCAAUUGGAAGAUUAAAGAAUUCUUGAAUCUCUGCUUUCACUUUCUCCACCAAUGAACUGCUCACUCCAUGAUUCAUCAACCGCAUAUAUGCAAAUUAAAGCAAGAUGUUCUUUCCAUAUAUACAUGGUUCAUAAAGGAAAUUUUGAAGUUCUGGAAACAAAAUGAUUUUUAUGGAAAAUGCUAAAGAAACGGAGAGCUGAUAAAAUGCUGACAAAAACAACGAUAAAUUAGUCUGUUUAAUGGGUUUACAAUCAAGUGACUAAUCCGGUACUGAUUUACUUUGUUUUUUGUAAACGUUUUGUCUAAUUUUUAUUAUCUGAAUAUCACUGCUAAAUUGUUAUGUACCUGAAAGAAACCCCAGUCUUUACAUGCAUGGUUCAUAUAGGGAACUUAAAGCUCAGGAAGUAAAAUUAUUUUUAUGGAAAAUGUAAAAACACUGAGACCUGAAAAAACGCUAACAAAAGCAAUGAUUUGCAAUCAAUUAAGUAUUUUUAUUAUAUGAAUAUCACUGCUCAAUUAUUAUGUACCUGAAAGAAACCCCACUCUUUACAUGCAUGGUCAAGCUUCUCAAGCUCUGAGUCAUCCCCAGAGAGCAACGUGUGCAUGUCAAUGACUGGAAGUUGUUGUGCUGAAGAAUCGUCGUUGCGAAUCAAGGGAUGGUCUAUCUCAGGGAGAACAUAACGUGGCGGAACAGUUGUCAGUGGCAGAUUAUUUGCCAGCUCCAGAAUCGAAGGCUCCACGAGAGAAUUCCCAAUAACUGUUGCUUUUGCCUCCAUGUUAUAUAGAUUUAGAUUAACUGAUUUCUAGCUAUUACCUUUUUGUUUUCUUCUACUCUUCUGCAGACUUAGCUAGUAUGUGUUUUGACAAGAAACUCAUAUAUAAAUAG